rnacentral:rRNA from 1 species
GUUGUAUGGUUAAGUGACUAAGCGUACAUGGUGGAUGCCUUGGCAGUCAGAGGCGAUGAAGGACGUACUAACCUGCGAUAAGCUGUGAGAAGUCGGUAAGAGACGCUAUUACUCACAGAUUUCCGAAUGGGGAAACCCACCCAAGAUAACUUGGGUAUCGUU